AUUGAACGCUGGCGGCAGGCCUAACACAUGCAAGUCGAACGAGUGGCGGACGGGUGAGUAAUGUCUGGGAAACUGCCCGAUGGAGGGGGAUAACUACUGGAAACGGUAGCUAAUACCGCAUAACAUCGGAAGUGCCCAGAUGGGAAUGGCUAGGAGGUGGGGUAACGGCGCACCUAGGCGACGAUCCCUAGCUGGUCUGAGCGGAUGACCAGCCACCCUGGAACUGAGCCACGGUCCAGACUCCUACGCGAGUCAGCAGUGGGGACUAUUGCACAAUGGGCGCAAGCCUGAUGCAGCCAUGCCGCGUGUAUGAAGAAGGCCGUCGGGUUGUAAAGUACUUUCAGCGAGGAGGCGUUACUCGCAGAAGAAGCACCGGCUAACUCCGUGCCAGCAGCCGCGGUAAUUC
rnacentral:rRNA from 1 species